CGAGGUGCAGCGUUACUCGGAAUUACUGGCGUAAGCGUGCGUAGGUGGUUGUUAAGUCUGAUGUGAAAGCCCUGGGCUCAACCUGGGAAUGGCAUUGGAUACUGGCAGGCUAGAGUGCGGUAGAGGGUAGUGGAAUUCCCGGUGUAGCAGUGAAAUGCGUAGAGAUCGGGAGGAACAUCUGUGGCGAAGGCGACUACCUGGACCAGCACUGACACUGAGGCACGAAAGCGUGGGAGCAAACAGGAUU
rnacentral:rRNA from 1 species